UGCAAUUAAUGAUGUUUUUUUUUUUCAUAAUUACUGAUUGAACAGUGAUUAAUAUAAAAUAUCACCAUCUUUCGGCUGAGAUUGCA
rnacentral:snoRNA from 1 species